rnacentral:rRNA from 1 species
AAGGUCUUCGGACUGUAAAACCCUGUCGUCAGGGACGAAGGUUUGGGAGUUAAUAGCUCUUAAGCUUGACGGUACCUGGAGAGGAAGCCCCGGCUAACUCUGUGC